CCUCCGCCAAGUAUCCGACAUAAUUCAAUUUCAAAUUCUGAAAGAUUGAUGCUCAAAACUUAGUGGCGACUAUGGGCACCUCAUCCAAGAAAUCCCACUCAUCAUAGUCAAUCGAGUUCGAAUCCAAUAAGAAGAUAUGUAUCCAAUUUCUAAUUUUGCUCUUCAGAAUAUCCCACUGUUAUCUUUAUUUGGCAAAAUUUCUCAGGAGGAUCAAAUGCAAACAGUGCCGAGGGAAAGGGGGAAAGGAGUAAUAAGGAAGACUAUGAUCUGUCCAAAUUCUGGAGAUAUUUCUAUCCGAGAUU